AAAUAUGAUGGUAAAAUGAUACAAUAAGUUCCUAGAUCUUGCAUGAUGUGUGGAAUUUUAUUUUAUAUGUAUCAAGAAUUUUCAUUGAUUUUCGGGUCAACAAUUUUGUAAAUUUGAAUAUCUCUGGAAUUGAUUUUUCAAAAUUUAUUUAUGAAAUUUUAUUUGAUGUUUUUGGGCUGGAAAUUGGUUAUUUUUGAUGUUUGAACAUUGUG
rnacentral:lncRNA from 1 species